rnacentral:rRNA from 2 species
AAUGGGGAAACCCAGUGUGACUCGUCACACUAUCAUUAACUGAAUCCAUAGGUUAAUGAGGCGAACCGGGGGAACUGAAACAUCUAAGUACCCCGAGGAAAAGAAAUCAACCGAGAUUCCCCCAGUAGCGGCGAGCGAACGGGGAGGAGCCCAGAGCCUGAAUCAGCAUGUGUGUUAGUGGAAGCGUCUGGAAAGGCGCGCGAUACAGGGUGACAGCCCCGUACACAAAAGCGUAUGUGCUGUGAGCUCGAUGAGUAGGGCGGGACACGUGGUAUCCUGUCUGAAUAUGGGGGGACCAUCCUCCAAGGCUAAAUACUCCUGACUGACCGAUAGUGAACCAGUACCGUGAGGGAAAGGCGAAAAGAACCCCGGCGAGGGGAGUGAAAAAGAACCUGAAACCGUGUACGUACAAGCAGUGGGAGCCCCACCACUAAGCCAGUGGUGAACUCCACAUACGCAUCCUUUGCUGAGGAUACGGUUAACGGAGCGAAAGCGACGUUCAACCGCAAAAGAAGCAGAGGGGGCUUAGUGGUGGGGUGACUGCGUACCUUUUGUAUAAUGGGUCAGCGACUUAUAUUCUGUAGCAAGGUUAACCGAAUAGGGGAGCCGGAGGGAAACCGAGUCUUAACCGGGCGUUAAGUUGCAGGGUA